UACGUAGGUGGCAAGCGUUGUCCGGAUUUACUGGGUGUAAAGGGCGUGCAGCCGGAGAGGCAAGUCAGAUGUGAAAUCCGCGGGCUCAACCCGCGAACUGCAUUUGAAACUGCUUCCCUUGAGUAUCGGAGAGGUAAUCGGAAUUCCUAGUGUAGCGGUGAAAUGCGUAGAUAUUAGGAAGAACACCAGUGGCGAAGGCGGAUUACUGGACGACAACUGACGGUGAGGCGCGAAAGCGUGGGGAGCAACCAGG
rnacentral:rRNA from 1 species